CUCGACAACCAAGAUGCCGCCGUUGCCUGUGUUCAAGUUGCGUUUAACGAAGUCCCUGGGAUCAGCAGGUCAGGUAGAGGCAGGUCAGGUAGAGGCAGGUCAGGUAGGGGCAGGUCAGGUAGGGGCAGGUCAGGUACGGUAACAUACAAGCUAUAUAGCCAUGUACACACCGGGCUGGGUUCUGAACGUCAGAGAACCAAGGCACGUAGUUGGUUGCAUAGCGGAGGGAAGGCAGCAAGGGAAUUAUGGUGUGUGUGGCGAGCGAGGGACCAGAAGGCUAUUGUCCAGGACGUUCACCUGAUGUAAUACGAAAAGUAAAAAAAUAAAAGCGUUAACGAUGCUUGAGCUGCCGACCCCGCCCACUCAACCCGUACCAUCCCGCCCAUAACUCCUAAACUUAAGGUACAUGGCGUGCGCGCAGAUGGAUGGAUGGAUGGAUGAACAAAUCGAAGUGACAAAGUGCGGUGAUUUUGGGCCUGUCGUUUUCUUGCUGUUGUCAUGCACGGGCUGCCUGGGUGCCCGAUCUAGCUGAUACCGCACGAGUCGUCGCAGACAUGCUGUAAUGUGAUUGUUAUAGGAGCCGCUGUAAAAUCAUUGCAAAAGUCCGGUCUCUAUUGAACAUUUAAUUUGUGGCAUUUCUUAACACCUUGGCCACCAAUUCGUCAGGCCGCGCAAACCUGCUGCCAGCAUUCCUUAGCUAGAUAUCGGAACGCAGCCGCUGCUGCUGCUGCUGCUGCUUACGGACGCCGCCGCGCGUCGUAACACCGAAGCUAGGUAGCGGCUAAAUUGCAUUAGUGUAGGCACUAUCAGGCUAAUUUUAUCUUUACUUACUGGUCCGUGAAAACCACCUCGGCGACGCCGGUGCUUCCGGAGGCAUAAGUAGGACUGGUCCCUGGCGCGUUGUAGGCUUCAAAAGCGUAACGCGCCGCCUGGCAAGUGUCCUUUAGGCUGGGUGCCACUGGAGGUUGCGCCUGGAAAGAGUAUUUGGAGGUGCUGGUGAAGAACGAUAAAAGGUAAAGUACGCUCGCCAUUGCACGCAGAGGCUUUGCUGCACACUGCAAAAAGCCACGCUCACCUGUUCCAUUUUGGCUUCUGGAAACUCACUCUGUGGUGAAAAAACGCACAAUUUACAGCAUGGACUCUGAGCCUCCAAUAGGUGUGCUGCUCACUGAGCACCACUGAAUGCAGACCGCUUUAUUUAGGUCAUGAAAGGACUAUGAAAAAUGGCAACUUAGGUCAUGAUUGCAACUUUCGAUUCUGGUCUUAAAUAGUCUUCGUACAAUUGCCCGUUCACCCAGCUGGAAAUUACGCGCUCAGUGCACGAUAAUAUAAGUGGUACCCCUGCUGAAAGCCGUGGCGUACAUGGUGAUUUUCAAGCUCCACCGCAGGUGCGUUACGAGAUGUCACGAAAUCCCUUGCAGGCUCCCGUGCUUCAGGGACACCAACUACUCCCUUCCAUCCCCUACGCCUUAUUGUUAUUGUGUGCCUUCAUCCAUAAGCCCUGAUCAUUGCCAUUUUCACUUUUGCCACAUUUUGUGGAGGUGCAUUCUGAACACCUCGUUGGCAUCAGUCACAGGUCCGGCUUCCAUCAGCCAGCUAGGGUGUAGUUUUAAGAUAACUGACAGGCUAAAAGUCGGCGCUUUAAGCACGCGACUUUUAGCCAUUUCCAAGCUAUCAGGGCCCGCCAAAGUUAGUCCGUAUUCAGGGUCGCGCGAGCUCAAUACUGUAUAAUAAGCAAAAUAAUGAUCUCUUAAGUAUUGAACCAUUGUGAUGAUUCCGAUGCUUUACUCAGACCGUUUCGUUGCAAGGUGAACUUACCACCUGAGCGACCUCUACUUAAAGUCCGCGACCUCUACUUAUCCUGUUUAUUUAGCUAAUUCAUUAUGAUAUCAUCAUAAAUAAUGUUUACAUUUGCCGCUUUAGCUAGUUGCGCUGCCGCACCGACGAAACAUGAAGUGACCAUUGAAAGUGCGGUAGGAGUACAUUCGACAAAACUCAGCUGCCAUGGACGCACGCGACUUUUAGCCAAACUUUAGUGGAAUAAAGCGACUGCUAUCUCACCCUUAACUGGGGAGCGCUAACUGGCUAAUGGAAGCCCGCCCUUCAUGUCAAAUGCUGUUUUGGCGGCCCCACGAUACAACCGUUCUCGGCGAGUCGACGAUUUGUAAGUUGUAACCUGUUCGUACCAGAUUCAAGCUGUCAAACAUGAUAUUUUCAGACCCGCGUAGACCCGUAUCAACGAACUUGCCCAACUGCCAGCCUCAGCCUCUGGAGCUGCCCCAAUCACUUUCCCACCAGCGCGCGUCUCGCAACUCCAACAAUCAUUUGCCAUGGCACCGGUCUUGCCUUCUGCUACACAAACAUAGCUCAUAACAUAACACAGGGCGGGAAGGCGGCGGGAUAAAGCCAACCUUGCGGAGGUCAUGUUCGAAGCCUGUUUGAAGGAUAGCGCAGUCCAUCUGCAGAUUUUAUUCAUGAGGCAGAUAGUGGGGAUGGCACGGCCAUCCCACAGGCUGUUGUAUGCGGAGCUGGCUGAACUCCCCUUACAGUAUUACAUGGUGAAACAGAUCCUCCGUUUCUUCACCUUCAAAAGCAAGUGGGGUCCAUUGCUCAUGCAGUUUUACGGCAGGAGAUAACCGAUGCUCUGACCAACCUGGAAUGGGAGGGUUGGGGAACCUCAAUGUUAUGACUGUUUUCCUUCUUGGAGUGCAAUAUAUGGAGCGGAAUACCGCAAGAAGUCAUGGGGGGAAAGGAGCGUGUUGACUGGUUGUUGAGUAGGCCUUCGGGUAGAGGAGCGAUGAUAACGGCACAAAGGGAGCGCUGAUGAGCGGCUGGGACCAUACGCGUCUGACUGUCUUGCCAGAGGAGUACCCAUCAGAUGGGAAACAAUCGGGAUUGCAAAUGGUGAAGUAUAAGCACUGAAUGGGGCUGCCUUUUUCGGGAGCCCCAGCCGUCAUGUGGCCAACACAUGCUAAGGUUUUCAUUCCUCGUUUAGCACAUCGUAAGUUAAUGCAGUUUCGUUUGUGUUGCUGGGCUUUGGAGGCAAACAGAGCACGAAGGGGCAAGUACCAUGUCCCCAGGGGGCAGCGGUUUUGCCGCUGUUUUGCCGUACUAAUAGCCGAAUCGGGGAUGGACACACGUGUUAUUGGAAUGCCCAGCCUAUAAUGAUAUUCGUGCUGAAGAGGGAUUCGAUCAUCAACAGAGCAUGUUGGAGGCCAUGAAAUGGGAAGGCAUUGAUCCUGUACACUGAUCCUGUCCUUUCAUGGUGUCGGUUAAAUAUCUUAUUUUAGGCGUAGCCUAAAAUGUGGUUUGCAGACGGGCAUCAGAGCGGCGUCGUACGGUGCGGUUGGUUGGUUGUUGUCUUGAGCUGCUGUUUUGCUCGGUGGUGGUUAGUCUUGUCUUAUUAAUCUUCUUUGUGAUCUCUGAUUCUGCUUCUGGUUGGUACGAGCUCUCUUUAUCAGAACAGCUGCUAGUUGCCACUGUUAUUGUCUGUUGGUCAGCGGUGCGGAUCUGGCCACCUUUCUUUUCAAAAACACGCGCAACGGUUCAAUUCAUUUCGUCAGUUCGUCUGGUGUUGGUUGCUGUAGCCAUGUCGCCCUUUGACCAUCUGCGCACGACCGCUGACUGCGACCGAGAGCUUGUCUCCUUCCCACCGCUGUCAUCGGAUGAACUGGACAUAUUGCAGCGGGUAGAAGAUCAGCUUUUGGCUAUUGACGAGGCGUUGGCGACAGACCUCGGCCAGCAGGAGCAGCAUUUGCCCGCUCGGGCUUCGAAAUCAGCCAAGGACACCCACACAGCCAAACUCAAGUCCAUUCGGUGCAAGCAUGAGUCACAGCGUUCGAGGCUUCUUCGAGCCAACCCGUCCGUUACCAACCUGAAGACUCGUGACACCGCUCGGCUGGUGAUUCAAGAGCGCAAACUUCAGCUCGUCUCCGGUGUUCCGCUGCAGUGGCACCCCCUCCCUAGUGUUGGCGAGGAUGACGCAGGUGAGCUCCCCGCGUUGGACAACGCGGGACCGGGUUGCUCGGGUGGGUUGGGUCAGCACGGGCGCACCCAGGGCGCCGUGGAGGGCGGAGCUCAGGGGGCUCACAUUCUGGCUGGCUCUGACCUUGAAACCAUAGUCGACAAUGGUGGAUACAAUCAGCUGGCGCAGACUAUCAUUGGCAACCUCGAGACGCAGCCCGCCCACGGUGCAGCUCCACCCAGGUGGCUGCAGCCACCAUGCCCGCAACCCCCUCUUCAGCUGCUGUUCAACCCAAGGCCCCUCACCAGGCUGGCGCCAUCGUAGUUCGGCAUGCACUCCCCCCACCGCACCCCUUCAACGCCCCCCUCCCAGUGCUCGCUGGCCCCAGCCACCACUGGCAGCCUGUUGGCAGCCGGCCUGACCACUGCUCCUGGCUUGCUGGGACCCUUCAGUGAUAUGCUCAGCCUCAUGGUGGAUCGGGGGGUCGUCCUGGACACCGUGCCGGAGUGGGGAUUGAUAUUCAAGGAGGCAGGCGGACAGCGCCUGGCGUCCGACCAGUCAGCCUUCAACAGUCAUGCCAACCACGUCAUCAACCACAACAUUGCGGCCACUCAGGCAGCUGCAGUGGAGUUUGACGAGACGCAGGACCCUGAAGCACGGGUGCAGCUGGCCAUGCAGGUAGUGCAGCACUACAAGACAGCAUCCGAGGCGCAGCAGACCCAGAAGUAGCUCAACGACAUGUCACAGCUGUUGCCCUACAAGGAGGUCAUCCGCCUGGUGAGGGAUGGUGACCCAUGUAAGACCUCCCUCGUCGCCUGCCUUGCUUCCCUCUCCUUCGAACAGUGAGCACACCUGGGCACGGCGCUUACAGGGCAGUCUCAGUCGGCCAGCCGGUCCGGUUCCAAGCAGCCCUUCACCUCCACACAGCCCCCCAGGGUGGGUCCCCAAGAGGGCCCCGAGGACAUCACAUGCCUCGUCUGCAACCAGCGGGGCCACUGCUUUCACAACUGCAUGCAACUCCAGGCUAUGCUCCGGGACCAGCAGCAGGCAGCGAUGGAAACACGUUUUAUUGGAAUGCCCAGCCUAUAAUGAUAUUCGUGCUGAAGAGGGAUUCGAUCAUCAACAGAGCAUGUUGGAGGCCAUGAAAUGGGAAGGCAUUGAUCCUGUACACUGAUCCUGUCCUUGGAUGGUGUCAGUUAAAUGUCCAUAAUCAAAGGUGCUCUUAGCUCCUUUCCAGCCAGAGAGUACCGACGUUCAAUCAGCUGCGACCGAGCAGCUGCUGUGGAGGAUUUAUGGGUGGUUUCAGUGGCUAGCAUGCCGUCGCCCUGUGCAUUGCUAUCCCACCCAGAAGAGGUCUUCUCCCGUACUGGCCGCUGAACCCACCACCACACCCCAAUCCCUAGGGGGCAAUCUGCAGCAGCACAAGCCCUUGCACUCUUCUGUGAACGGCUUAGCUUCUUUUCCGGUCAUGUGUGUAGUAGGGGCUCCUGGCUGUACCAGGGGCUCGGCUUCACUCCAAGAGCCCACUGGCAAGGACGGCUACACACUUGGGACUGUUAAGGGAGAGUAGCGGUGUACCUCCAACAAGUGCACUCAUCAGGCAUAAAUGUGUUCACCUCAACCCUGCGCCGUGAGGGCAAUUCCCUGGCAUCCGUUACACAGCGUGUGGAAAUCCUGAUUUGCACCGGACCCAGUUUCCUGACACACAUGGCCCAUGCAAAUUCGGUCGCACCAUGGGGCCAUGGGAGGCCGCGUUAGCAGUGAAGGGUGGUGGCCAGUAGUAAAUCUCAUCACCAUGAAAUAUAGACGGACCACCAUCACCCAAACAUCAACAAAACAAUAACAAUAGAGCUGCAAUGAACGAGACGCGAGACACGCAGAUAGACGAUCACAGACAAACAAUUGGCAGAUGUGUGUUAGGUGUAACGGGUCCAUCAUAGGGCCUGCCGAGCUGUCCAAUUAAGGCAAUAUCAAGAAUACAAUACUUUAUAAUAGGAUAGUAUAUAAUAAGCCCAUCACACGGAAAAUGCGAAAUGAAUCAGGAAGGGAAUCACUUGUUUCUGUUGACCUGUGCAAAUACUCGCAGGCUAACAGUACCAGGUCAAACAGCAUUCUGCUUGCAUUUCUUUGUACGGCACUGGCCAAUGUCCACAGCAUAUACAGCUGCGGGCACCAUCUGGGUCAUCAGCGGCUCCAGGGUAUCAGGGUAGGUGUAUCUGGUGCCUGCUGGACGGUAGACAGCUCUCCAGCACUGCUGCUGCUACUGCACUGCUGUUGCUGCUGCACUGCUGUUGCUACUGUGCGGUGGCGGCCUGACAUCCGGUGACUGCUGGAUCCAUUGUCCAUCAGCACUGCCGUCAGCCACCGAAGCAACCUAAAAACGGCGGACGCCUGAAAGCGGCGGUGCUCAUGCAGCAGGAGCCUGGAUGGUGCGAGGAGAGGAGCGAGUGAAAGAUUGUGGUGUUCGUGUGUGAGUGGUGUUGUGUAUGUAUCAAGUCAAUUGAGGAGCCACAGCCAGUAUGCAAGUACCUGGGUCCCAUGACUGUACCCUCUCAUGACUGACUACACUCCACUCACCCACAAGCCAGCCAACCCGCCAGCUCCUCACGGCAUCUGUGCCUGUUCUACUGGGGGUGAUCCAUUCGGGCCUUACCUGCUGGGUUGGGGGCUCUGCCAGGGCCUCAGCCGCCUGUGGCUGGGCCUGGUCGACCAUUUCCCGGGGGCGUUUCAACUUAGGAUAUUUACAAAGCCCGUUGUAAUAUGCAACCUCCAGGUGGGCUUCAAUGCCCUCCCUGAUUCCGUCCAGGGUUGACGGCACUGGGAGCCGGUGUGGGCCGGAAUCCGCAAUAGGGCCCACACGAGCUUUUGGGUCGUUCUCCUGGGGUUGGGUUGUGUUAUUAAGGCAGGGGGGAGGUUCGCAGCGUCAGUGGCUGGGUAGGUGACUGGGUGGUGUAUUACGUGGGAUGACGGGGUGCGACUCAGCCGGCCUCAUGCAGUUUAGAUAAUAAGGGUAGAUGGCGCUUGAUCAUGUGCCUGCUCCCCACGAUGACCAGUAGUGAGAUGUCAAGAAAGGCCAGCAGCACAGAUGGUGUAGCUAGAGUCAUACGUAAGUCUUGCAUAAAAAGGAUUGUCCAAUAUUGUGUAUGUGUAAUUUUAGUUUAGGGAACCAGGACAACCACAAAAUAGCGACCAUUCCUGCAGAAGGGACCCAAACGCAUGUCAUUGUAAGCAUGGCGCGGCGUGGAAUGGCGGGUCUACCUAUGUACCUACCUACCUACCUACAUACCUAGUAUGGCAGGCGGCUGGCAGAGGUUAAGGCCUGACUUCUGCUCCCAGUCGACCCAGUCGACCCGGGUUCAAAUCCGCCUGCCGGCUCCUCGGGUGUUUGAGGAGUGAUGAAAUGGGAGGUGGCCCCCCAUCUUAUGGACGGUGUAGGACGUGAUAAUAUCAACUUGCGAGCUGACCAGGAACUAAGUUGAUGCGCCGUUGAUCCGCUAGAUUUGGUUGGAUACUGGUGGUGAGUUGCCGAACCCAACGAAUACAUUCUGAAGUCGGAUGGGGUGACGGAUUAGGGUGCCCCUCUAGCAGGGGAGAGCAGGGACUGCCCCGGGAAAGGGGGCCGCUGGCGAAGUUGACCACCCUGUAACAACAUACAUACCUAGCUAAUACAAUGUGUGUGGUCGCACUAUUUUCCAGCAUGCGAGUGUGCACCUUCACCGUCCUUGCUUGCUUGAUUUCGCUCAGAACCAAGGCUCGGAACACAAGAACAGCAUGGCGAGCCCAACACAUGCCUGGAUGUGGUGCUGCUGCGAAUGGAUACCUGGCAUACACUUUUACAUGACUGUCAGCCUCCAACCAACCAACCGCCGCCAAUUACCAAGAUGCUAGGAACCCACCCAAAUGAGCUACUGCCUCACCGCUGUCUGCAGAUCCCAGUGGGCGGCCACAUGGUAGUACUUGAAGUUGGGGUCGCGGGCGCCCUGCAGGAGAGGCCUAUCAGGGACCCUGCGAGUGCGAGUAAGAGUGCGAGUAAGAGUGCGAGUAUGAGUGCAAGUGUGAGUGCGCGUAAGAGUGCGAGUAUGAGUGCGAGUGUGAGUGUGAGUAAGAGUGCGAGUAUGAGUGCGAGUUUAAGAGAAGACUUAAGAUGAUGGUAGGAUACCUGAGAGACGAGACAUGAGCACUUAAAGGGAUGCUUCAAUCCCUGUGCAGUAGACGGAUGCGCAACAUGUCACUGAGGCUGGCGAGCAUAAUCUGCCAUGGAAUGCAAAGCAGAUACGGCAAAAGUACGAAAUGAUAAGGACUCUGAUGACCAUGGCCAACACACAUCAUCUUUAUACCAGCAGCAGCUUCAACAACAGUAAUGACAACGGCGUUCCACUGCCAGAACAACAUUCUACAACCUGUUUUCCAUGUCUUAUAUGCAUCAUUUUGCCGAUUCAGCCGCUAGUGCCGUACCUGGGGAUCAGGUCCUUGGUGUUGGUCAAACGCCAGGCAUUUGAAGCCAGCUUAUUGAACUCGUUCAUGAACACCAAGUUGCCCACACGGGGGCUGCCGAAGGUGUAACACAGAAUAUCGCCAGUGAAGACCCUGAGGCCGUACAUCUCGAUACCAUUAUUGACAGCGAAGUUGCGUGAUGAGACAUCGAAAUGGACCACAGUUGGCCGCGGUGGUGCACACAAGGGAUAGGACGGCCAGGUGGACGAAACGGGAUAGAGAAGGGGGGGGGAGCAAUACCAUCCAAGCCACCACGAAAUUAAAACUGCUGGCUCCUUCUCUUUACUAAAAAAAUACAGCAAUCCCAUUCGUAAAGCGCAUAUCACCAUGUGAGGCCUGUUUUGCCCAUUUGAUCGAAGAUGACAUCAUUCCCACUCGCACAGUGCCGUACCCUUCUUGCUUGCGGGCGCUCAAGUCGUAUGUCGCCAGCGUUGCCAGAGCACCGCCUAGUGAGUGUCCCGUGAAGACGACGGUGGUGGAGGAGGGACGGCCAUCUGUCCCUACAGCAGCAGCCCACACCAGGAGUUUGCAUAAAGACACAGCAGGUAGGGCCGUUCCCAUGGUGAUGCAGGUGGCGGGCCCAUGGUGGCGGUUGUAACACCAGGCAAAGAGUACUCAGGGAGACGCCAAGGGAGCGGAACCCUUCUCACAUUCCUCUCCCCCUCGAGCGAACAUCCUCGGUCGCCCCCGGGCAUAUCCCGUAGGAUUUUGGUUGUAUGAGAUCCCGUAGGAUUGUGAGAUUGUCGGUUAUUGUGACAUUUCGUCAGUCCCCGUCCGGGAUGGAGGGAUUUGAUUUUACUCAGCUGGUAGACUUCUCACCCGCCCGGGCAUCCACCUUUGGGAUAUGAGUAUGUAUGCAUCGUGACUGGUGUGCGAUAUGUUCACAACCGGAUUCGAUUCGGGGAUUUCUCACCUCCUAGCAAUUCGCACCAUUGUAGCACCAGGCAAAGAGUACCCAGGGAGAUGCCAAGGGAGCUUAACCCUUCCUACAGCGGUGGUGGACACCUAGACGCACAGUGGCAUUGGCAUCCUCACCUGCCGGAUCCUGCUGGUCAAAAAUGAGCAGAUCCAGAAUCGACAUGAUCGUCGCGCGGAUGCUCAUGUAGGCGCGGAGGAAGCCGGUGUGCACCAGGACCUGCGGUGGAGUGAACGUCUGGGAGGGAAAGGGAGGGAGUGAGGGAGGGGUCACUACUAUGACCGCUCGGGUGUAUGAGCUGGUGUGGGAGCGAGUAACUACAUAUGGGCACCUAGAUUUUGCCCACCCUCCAAAUAGUACACCCACCUUUGGGCUAGUGUCGCUUACAAGCUUCAUAGUAUCAGCAGCAGGAGUGACAGCAGGCACCCUCUUAUCAUGGGCCUCCAGCCUAUUGCCAUCCAGGCCAUUGGCCUCCAGGGGAUUCAGGUCGUCUGGUGGCGUGAGGAACAGAUUGGCAUUCGUUAACAUGUUGGCCAGGGAGUCCUGUCACGAAGGAGUGAGUGAGGGAGGGAGGGGGGAGGGAGGGAGGGAGGGUUCAGCGAUGAAAGGGAGAUUAUCAUCACAUGGUGGUGGGUUGGGGCCAAAUGAUUCGCAGGGGUACAACUUCUCAGCAUUACGGGGUGCUGUAGAGUCGCUAACAUGAAUGCUCAUCGUGUGCUCAGAACCACGCAUGAUUGCACGAUCAAUAAUACAUUGCAGUGCACAUUCGCUGCUGCUGGAUAACCAGCAAGCAUGCUGCCCCCUUGCUUGCUGCGACCACGUUUCCAUUUAAAAUAGCUAGGAAUAGCCGUGUCCAUCUGUCCGUCCAUCUGUCCGUCCGUCUGUCCAUCCGUCUGCUCCAUUUCCCCAAACACACCCCCAACUCCAUCCGGGCCGGAACUUACUGUUUCUGUCCCACGGAACGACACCAUCACCUUUCCGCAACUAUCGUUCCGGUAGAACCACACCUGCACUCACAUACAUACAUUUAGGUUAAGAACUACUGGUAAAGCAUGCACCAAUGGCCCCGUGAGAUACCGAAAUCGAAACCUAUCAGGGUCUAAGAUGUUUCCAAUGGCGAAUGGUUUAGUGCCCCUAGUCGAUGGACAAUUGUGACCUGAGAUUUAGUUGACCUGCGAGCUGACCAGGAAUGGAGUUGAGCCGUCGUCAAUCCGGCAGAUUCCUUUGGAUGCCGGUGGUAGGUGCUGAACCUGAGCUAUCCACUGAGAAGUUGACAAAGGUGUAGUGAUGAGGGUGCAACGAAAUACCGGGGAAGGCAGGGUUUUGCCAGGUUGCGGCCACGGGUGAGGAUAUGGCACCCUGUCCCACACAUCCUACCUACCAACCUACCUGCCUAACUAGCUAUCUACCUAGCUACCCACCUACCUACCUACCUAUAUACAUACAUACAUGCAUGUGCUCUUGCAAAUGUGAAUGUGUUAUUGGGUGUGUAUCCAUACGUGUGUUACAACCUGAGUGCAUUACCAUUCCAAAGGUGCAGUGACGAGAGCAGUGAUGAGAGCAGGACAAUGAAAAUCUAUGCGUGUAUGUGUACAGCAGCACUGCGCGCAGUCACCGCCUAAUCUACCACUGUAUCGGUGUCGGGGCAGUUGACGUAGGCCAGCAGGGUGAGAUCCUCGGCGCCCGCCUUGCGGCUCAGCUCGUCCCAGUUGACCUUCUCUUGCGAUUUUCUCGACGGAAGCUCCUGAAUGGAUCCCCAAUUGAUGUCGGCGAAAUCCACACGGACUGUAUGUCGACGCAGGGGUCCGAAAAAGCAAAGACGUUAAUCAUGGGUUGUUUUGCAUGCUGCUGGAUGUAAAGAUGGGUACUUUGUUUGUGUCUGUGUGUGUGCGUGCGUGUUUGGGAGUUUUAGUAGCAAUGACGCAUACACGCAGGCAUGGUCUACCUAGCUUUUCAUCGCUGUUGCUGUAUGUGCAAUUGACUGCCCAGCCUAGCUAGGCGCGGAGGCAGGGAGCUGCUUAGCCCCAGUGGCAGCCAUCAGCGGCCCCAGCAGCAUUAGUACUGGCGCCAGCAAGCAAUAGCAACAUUAGUGAUAUCAGCAGUGCUGUACAGCUAGCGCAGCAACAGUAGCGAGCAGCCAUACAGUGGCAACAUACAGCAGCAGCAGCAGCAGCAGCAGCAGCAGCAGUAGCAGCGACAGCAGCAUCCGGAUCCCACCCUGCAACCCAACUGCAGCCUGUUAUAUCACGAGUUCAGAAAAGUACCGAUCGGCGGAUGUCAAAAUCCCGGGGUGAUAUGCCCGGGGUACUACAGACAUGUGCACUUAAUAUGUCACAUGAAGCCGUUAUAUAUCUAUGUACCCGGCGGCCUUCACAACAGGUUGUAUAGCACUAGACGACCUCAGUACACAUCACGGCACAGAUGUAACACGGACAUACUGUAUCGGUGUCAUACCAAGCCUGCUUACACUUGAAUGCGAAACUCAUGAUGUCGUGUGCGAUCUGCGUGUGUGGAUUGGAACGAGGCGGCAUCGACAGGUCGGCGGCACGGAGCGAGGAGAUGAUAAGAUCCGUCAAUAAGAAGAUAAGGAAAUGAUGAGAGGUGCACGUUUGCGCGAAGACAUUCCGGAUUUAUGAAAAUCCUAUUCAUGCAUUACUUGUUAUUUUUCUAGCCAUAAAUAAUGUUUCACGAGAUUACUUACUACCGUAUCCCUCAUGUCAAAAGCCAGGUUAAUAUCAGGAAUAAGUUCCUGACCCGCAAAGCUUAACACAAAACUAAUCUUCUUCCUAAUCUCCUUUAGCAAAGGAGCUAACUAUCGGAAUUCAUGGAGUGCUUAACUUGGAUAUGUAAAUUAUAACCUGGGUAACCAGGGUACAGGUUGAAUAAUUUCGUGUUUUAUUUCUACAUAAGAAAAACAUUGCUUGAUAGCUGAUGAAAUCAUGGCAACCGGUACUGUCGACCAAACCUCUGUUUGCCCAAGUGAAAUAAUAAAAAAGAUUCUGGUUCAUUAGGCCGGAGCAAUUAUCAUGAUUCACAAUUAUCCAAUCAGUAGCGCAAGACCUUCUGGUUCAGAUAUUGAUUUGACAGCACAAAUAGUGUAUCCAUGUAAGGCUGUGAAUGUAAGUGUGCAUGAUCAUGUAAUUAUCGGCAGGGGCGAGCGGUGCACCGGCGAGAAUAGUUUAGAUCGAAAGGGCAAGGUAAGUUUACCAACAACUUAGCCGUUUGAGCAAGUAUCGAUGGAGGACAGCGGGUUAAUCCGCUACAAAUACAACCUUAAUUAAAAACAAGUAGCGGGCUUCCUCAGCCCCAACAAAUGCCAUGGGACAAAGGUUGCCAAUUAGUUCCUCACGCACGUAACUGCUGCACGUAACUGUAGGCAGACGGGCCUAGCUGCACCUCGAAACAACGUCCUUCAUAAAAUACAUGGCGCAUACAGUUACGCAAUUACAACUUAAAUAUUAGCAAGGUUUGAAGUGUUGUUUCCCGUGCUUGUCCGGACCCACUUGCUAAAUACGAUACCACUAUCAAAGAGAACGUUCCGAAUCAAGACCGACAUGAUCGAGAUGUGUAAGGUGUUAACGACGCCAUCCAAACAUAUGCACACAGACAGACAAUCACGACUACCUACACAUGAUUGCCUGUCUGCGUGCAUAUGUUGUGCCAUACACACAUACACACAUACAUGCACACAUACACACAUACAUGCACACACGCAUGGAACGAACCCACCUUCACUAAUGGUUGUUCCCGGGGCAGUAUAUUCUUCCCGGCGAAAGGGUUGUCGGAGAACGGGGCCAGCAGCCAUGUGAAACUCAUUUGGUUAGCUUUCGGGGGGCAGUCGGCGGGCGGGGGGGGGGCAGUCACCGAACGAAUAACACGCACGGGGCUGAAGGGGCGGGAGCUCGGUGUUCAGUUAAUUAACAAUAGCUCGGAGGGGGUUUCCAACGGUCAUCACAUGUGAAACAGGCAAGGCAGGAAUCGUAUUAUGCAAUCAUCGCUAAAAGCUGAAUCUGGCAGCCAAUACUGGUACGACACUCUACCGUACUACGACCGACACUUUAUGUGUGUUGGAGAUCACUCUCUGGUAGUAAGAAGGCGCUGUGCGCAGGCAGAACGCACGAACGAGUAUGGACAAUGAUCAAGCACGAGCUUGGCAAUUAAUGACCAACCCAGUGCGGCUCAUGCGGUAUACCCUCUGCUAGUCGACCUGUUUCAACCACUUACGAGCAGCUGGAUCAUUGCCGCCCGCAUUCGUGCUGGUGGAGGAGCCAGCAACGUUGGCAGCAGUAGCUGCCUCCCUGAGUAGUGCCUGCAUUGGUACAACUUUAGUGGACCGGUUUGCACCCACGUCCGUCAGGGGAAUACGGAUGUGUACCGGCUCCGGCGGCACGCCCCCGUUGCAUAUUUCGUUGCCGUAGUACAGCGUCAGAUGGAGCAGGUCCUUUGUUUUGUCCCUGUGCGUGUUUGUAUGCACGUAUGGAUGUGUGCGUGAGAAACACAGUAAUAAGGAAACAUAGAUAGCUUAUUGUGUAACGGGUGCCUGGGUAUGUGUAUGUGUGUGGGGAAGCCGGGGGUAUGUGAUUGUUGUAUCACGGCUACAGAAAAGUACCAAUGUCAGAAUCCCGUGAUAUGCCCUCCAGGAUACUACAGUAUGCAUGCAUUUGACAGUUUCUGACACCACCGGUACCUGUACCACUCCUGUACAUGAAGGACAUGCAGCCCAACGUCCUCACCGUACACCAAGCACAAUUUGCUUGUCCUGCCCCUUCAGCGGUAGACUGACGUGAAUUGCAGCUCCCCGAAUGCUGCCCUGCUGCUGCUCACCCUUGGCAGCAGUGGCAGCUGCAGCGGCUCGAAGGAUUCGGGGUUGGAUGCAUAGCUCGACUGACAGACUGACGCCACAGAAGGGCUUAAGUGCCAGAGCGUCAGUCAGCUCGACAACCAAGAUGCCGCCGUUGCCUGUGUUGCCGCGUUCAAUGAAGCUCCUGGGAUCGGCAGGUCAGGUAGGGGCAGGUCAGGUAGGGGCAGGUCAGGUAGAGGCAGGUCAGGUAGGGGCAGGUCAGGUACGGUAACAUACAAGCUAUAUAGCCAUGUACACACCGGGCUGGGUUCUGAACGUCAGAGAACCAAGGCACGUAGUUGGUUGCAUAGCGGAGGGAAGGCAGCAAGGGAAUUAUGGUGUGUGUGGCGAGCGAGGGACCAGAAGGCUAUUGUCCAGGACGUUCACCUGAUGUAAUACGAAAAGUAAAAAAAUAAAAGCGUUAACGAUGCUUGAGCCGCCGACCCCGCCCACUCAACCCGUACCAUCCCGCCCAUAACUCCUAAACUUAAGGUACAUGGCGUGCGCGCAGAUAGAUGGAUCGAUGGAUGGAUGAACAAAUCGAAGUGACAAAGUGCGGUGAUUUUGGGCCUGUCGUUUUCUUGCUGUUGUCAUGCACGGGCUGCCUGCGUGCCCGAUCUAGCUGAUACCGCACGAGUCGUCGCAGACAUGCUGUAAUGUGGUUGUUAUAGGAGCCGCUGUAAAAUCAUUGCAAAAGUCCGGUCUGUUUCGAAC
rnacentral:lncRNA from 1 species